rnacentral:lncRNA from 1 species
UAACCAGGUGCUCCGCAGGGCGCAGCUUUAUACGACCGCAGAGGUCGAACCCUGAACAGUUGGGGCAAGUAUGGACAAACAUUCAAGCGUGAUACAGCUCUGAAUUUGGAUUGUGAUCAAAUUUUUGACAUUACAUGGGUUUUUUUUUACACAAAACAAAUGUCAAGAUUUUACAAAUCAAUUAAAGAUUUCUUCUUCAAACUUUUUAAAUCUAAAAUUAAAUAGUUGACACAGCAUAGGUUUCUGACACAGAAUGAAUGUGGUCUAAUGAACUUAAAAGUUUUUUUUUGCCUUUGAGCAAUUCACUAUGCUGUUGAAUAUUAAUCCUCUCAAAAAAAUGUUUGAAGAAAUUUUCUUUUUAUUUAUGAAAUCUAAAAUGAAAAAAAUUUAAACCCCCCCCUUUUUUUUCACAUCCCCGUUUCCCUUUUUCCAAAACUGAUAUCAAUUCAAAUUUCUAAUAGAGUUUGCAACAAUAACUACUCUUUUAAAUACAUCAUAAAAUAUUAAAAUGUAAAAUAAAGUGCUUGUUAUCACUGAAUGGUAAAGAUUGUUU